rnacentral:rRNA from 1 species
AUUGAACGCUGGCGGCAGGCUUAACACAUGCAAGUCGAGCGGAACGAGGGUGCUUGCACCUUAGCUUAGCGGCGGACGGGUGAGUAAUGCUUAGGAAUCUGCCUAUUAGUGGGGGACAACAUUCCGAAAGGAAUGCUAAUACCGCAUACGCCCUACGGGGGAAAGCAGGGGAUCUUCGGACCUUGCGCUAAUAGAUGAGCCUAAGUCGGAUUAGCUAGUUGGUGGGGUAAAGGCCUACCAAGGCGACGAUCUGUAGCGGGUCUGAGAGGAUGAUCCGCCACACUGGGACUGAGACACGGCCCAGACUCCUACGGGAGGCAGCAGUGGGGAAUAUUGGACAAUGGGCGGAAGCCUGAUCCAGCCAUGCCGCGUGUGUGAAGAAGGCCUUUUGGUUGUAAAGCACCUUAAGCGAGGAGGAGGCUACUUAGAUUAAUACUCUGGGAUAGUGGACGUUACUCGCAGAAUAAGCACCGGCUAACUCUGUGCCAGCCGCCGCAGUAACAC